UGGGGAAUUUUGGACAAUGGGCGCAAGCCUGAUCCAGCCAUGCCGCGUGCAGGAUGAAGGCCUUCGGGUUGUAAACUGCUUUUGUACGGAACGAAAUGACUCUGGUUAAUACCUGGGGUCCAUGACGGUACCGUAAGAAUAAGCACCGGCUAACUACGUGCCAGCAGCCGCGGUAAUACGUAGGGUGCGACGUUUAAUCGGAAUUACUGGGCGUAAAGCGUGCGCAGGCCGGUUAUAUAAGACAGAUGUGAAAUGCCCGGGCUCAACCUGGGAACUGCAAUUGUGACUGUAUAGCUAGAGUACGGCAGAGGGGGAUGGAAUUCCGCGUGUAGCAGUGAAAUGCGUAGAUAUGCGGAGGAACACCGAUGGCGAAGGCAAUGCCCUGGGCCUGUACUGACGCUCAUGCACGAAAGCGUGGGGAGCAAACAGGAUUAGAUACCCUGGUAGUCCACGCCCUAAACGAUUCAACUGGUUGUUGGGUCUUCACUGACUCAGUAACGAAGCUAACGCGUGAAGUUGACCGCCUGGGGAGUACGGCCGCAAGGUUG
rnacentral:rRNA from 1 species